CGCGGUGGUAAUACAUGGGGACAGAGCCCAAUAUUUAGAGGGAAGUCAAAGUGGGGCGCGGUGGUAAUACAUGGGGACAGAGCCCAAUAUUUAGAGGGAAGUCAAAGUGGGGCGCGGUGGUAAUACAUGGGGACAGGGCCCAACAUUUAGAGGGGUGAGGUGGUAAUACAUGGGGACAGAGCCCAAUAUUUAGAGGGGUGAGGUGGUAAACCAUGGGGACAGAGCCCAACAUUUAGAGGGGUGAGGUGGUAAAACAUGGGGACAGGGCCCAACAUUUAGAGGGAAAUCAAAGAGGGGUGAGGUGGUAGUACAUGGGGACAGAGCCCAACAUUUAGAGGGAAGUCAAAGAGGGGUGAGGUGGUAAACCAUGGGGACAGGGCCCAACAUUUAGAGGGGUGAGGUGGUAAACCAUGGGGACAGGGCCCAACAUUUAGAGGGGUGAGGUGGUAAACCAUGGGGACAGGGCCCAACAUUUAGAGGGGUGAGGUGGUAAUACAUGGGGACAGAGCCCAAC
ensembl:lncRNA